GGAGGAUGACCGCUCGAAUGUAUUUCUUGUUGAUUGCUGUUUAAUCGUGUCUUUUUGGAUACUUGAGCAUAACUCGUGCUAUUCCAAGACGAACCACAGUGGACGGUUUAUGUCCGGCGAGGCUGACGGUCAUGCCGUCCCGUCAAGGAUGUUCUUCUGAUAAAGGCUGCUCUGGAGGACAC